GACAGAGGAGGCAAGCGUUGUUCGGAAUCACUGGGCUUAAAGCGCGUGUAGGCGGCUUGGUAAGUGUCGUGUGAAAUCCCAUGGCUCAACCAUGGAACUGCACGGCAAACUACCUAGCUUGAGGUCGGUAGAGGUGCCUGGAACUCUAGGUGGAGCGGUGAGAUGCGUAGAUAUCUAGAGGAACGCCAGAAGCGAAAGCGGGGCACUGGGCCGAUUCUGACGCUGAGACGCGAAAGCGUGGGGAGCAAACAGG
rnacentral:rRNA from 1 species